ACGCACGCUGGCGGCGUGCUUAACCCCUGCCCGUCGGACGGAAAGGCCCCAGCUUGCUUGGGUACUCGGGUGGCGAACGGGUGAGUAACACGUUGGUGAUCUGCCCUGCACUCUGGGAUAAGCCUGGGAAACUUGGUCCAAUACCGGAUAGGACCGUGCUUUUGCGUGUGCGGUGGAAAGUUUUUCGGUGCAGGAUGAGCCCGCGGCCUAUCAGCUUGUUGGUGGGGUAAUGGCCUACCAAGGCGGCGACGGGUAGCCGGCCUGAGAGGGUGUACGGCCACAUUGGGACUGAGACACGGCCCAGACUCCUACGGGAGGCAGCAGUGGGGAAUAUUGCACAAUGGGCGGAAGCCUGAUGCAGCGACGCCGCGUGGGGGAUGACGGCCUUCGGGUUGUAAACCCCUUUCGGCAGGGACGAAGCUUUUGUGACGGUACCUGCAUAAGAAGCACCGGCUAACUACGUG
rnacentral:rRNA from 1 species